rnacentral:rRNA from 1 species
GCCCUUGGGUUCGGAAUAACAGUGAGAAAUUACUGCUAAUACCGGAUGAUGUCUUCGGACCAAAGAUUUAUCGCCCAGGGAUGAGCCCGCGUAGGAUUAGGUAGUUGGUGGGGUAAUGGCCUACCAAGGCGACGAUCCUUAGCUGGUCUGAGAGGAUGAUCAGCCACACUGGGACUGAGACACGGCCCAGACUCCUACGGGAGGCAGCAGUGGGGAAUAUUGGACAAUGGGCGAAAGCCUGAUCCAGCAAUGCCGCGUGAGUGAUGAAGGCCUUAGGGUUGUAAAGCUCUUUUACCGGGGAUGAUAAUGACAGUACCUGGAGAAUAAGCUCCGGCUAACUCCGUGCCAGCAGCCGCGGUAA